rnacentral:rRNA from 1 species
CCUACGGGAGGCAGCAGUGAGGAAUAUUGCUCAUUGGGCGCUAGCCUGAACCAGCCAAGUAGCGUGAAGGAUGACUGCCCUAUGGGUUGUAAACUUCUUUUAUAUGGGAAUAAAGUGCAGUAUGUAUACUGCUUUGCAUGUACCAUAUGAAUACGGAUCGGCUAACUCCGUGCCAGCAGCCGCGGUAAUACGGAGGAUCCGAGCGUUAUCCGGAUUUAUUGGGUGUAACGGGAGCGUAGGCGGGUUGUUAAGUCAGUUGUGAAAUGUGGCGGCUUAACCGUAGAAUUGCAGUUGAAACUGUGAUCCUUGAGUACAGUAGAGGUAAGCGGAAUUCGUGGUGUAGCGGUGAAAUGCUUAGAUAUCACGAAGAACUCCGAUUGCGAAGGCAGCCUGCUGGACUGUAACUGACGCUGAUGCUCGAAAGCGUGGGGAUCAAACAGGAUUAGAUACCCUAGUAGUC